rnacentral:rRNA from 1 species
GGAGCAUGUGGUUUUAAUUCGAAGCAACGCGAAGAACCGUUACCAGGACCUUGACAUGCAGAGAACUUUCCAGAGAUGGAUUUGGUGCCUUCGGGAACUCUGACACAGGUGCUGCAUGGCUGUCGUCAGCUCGUGUCGUGAGAUGUUGGGUUAAGUCCCGUAACGAGCGCAACCCUUGUCCUUAGUUACCAGCACGUUAUGGUGGGCACUCUAAGGAGACUGCCGUGGACAACACGGAGGAAGGUGGGGAUGACGUCAAAUCAUCAUGCCCCUUAUGAUCUGGGCUACACACGUGCUACAAUGGCCGGUACAACGGGCAGCGAAGGAGCGAUCCGGAGCGAAUCCUAAAAAGCCGGUCCCAGUUCGGAUUGCAGGCUGAAACUCGCCUACAUGAAGUUGGAGUUGCUAGUAAUCGCGAAUCAGAAUGUCGCGGUGAAUGCGUUCCCGGGUCUU